rnacentral:rRNA from 1 species
CCUACGGGAGGCAGCAGUGAGGAAUAUUGGUCAAUGGGCGCUAGCCUGAACCAGCCAAGUAGCGUGAAGGAUGACUGCCCUAUGGGUUGUAAACUUCUUUUAUAUGGGAAUAAAGUGCAGUAUGUAUACUGCUUUGCAUGUACCUUAUGAAUAAGGAUCGGCUAACUCCGUGCCAGCAGCCGCGGUAAUACGGAGGAUCCGAGCGUUAUCCGGAUUUAUUGGGUUUAAAGGGAGCGUAGGCGGGUUGUUAAGUCAGUUGUGAAAGUUUGCGGCUCAACCGUAAAAUUGCAGUUGAUACUGGCAGCCUUGAGUACAGUAGAGGUAGGCAGAAUUCGUGGUGUAGCGGUGAAAUGCUUAGAUAUCACGAAGAACUCCGAUUGCGAAGGCAGCCUGCUGGACUGUAACUGACGCUGAUGCUCGAAAGUGUGGGUAUCAAACAGGAUUAGAUACCCCAGUAGUC